GGGUAUAUAGCUCAAGUGGUAGAGCAUGUGCUUAGCAUGCACAGGGUCAUGGGCUCAAUCCCCAGUACCUCCA
rnacentral:tRNA from 1 species